rnacentral:misc_RNA from 1 species
AACGCACAUUGCGCCCCUUGGUAUUCCAUGGGGCAUGCCUGUUCGAGCGUCAUCUACACCCUCAAGCACUGCUUGGUGUUGGGCGUCUGUCCCGCCUUUGCGCGUGGACUCGCCCCAAAGUCAUUGGCAGCGGUCUCUGGCACCUCAACGCGCAGUACAAUGCGUCCGUCGGGGUGCCGUGGGCGCGACCAUAAGCUAUUUACCGUCUUUGACCUCGGAUCAGGUAGGGAUACCCGCUGAACUUAA